GGGCGGUUUCUGGUAAUUUUUUGCACGUAUUAGUAUAAAUUUUCACUACCUGGAGGGGCCGAGCGGUCUAGAAAUACAGUAGUAGUGUUUGAAAUGAAGAAAAACAAAGAAAACUAUAUAACAAAUAUAUACCGCUGUUCAGGGACGCCGGAACUGGGGAGGAGGGCAGGAGGGGCAGCCGCGCCCGUUGCCCUUUACCAGGAGGGGCAAGGGGGGCAGAGGUGCCCUUUCAAUUUAAAUUAUUGGCUUCGCGAAAUAGCGAAUAUUCAGAAAUGUCAGUGCGAUUCUUCAUGUACAAAUUUGCUGCAGAAAACGCAAGAAAUGCAGUCAUCGAGCUUCAAGAAUAGCACAAUCGCCUGGCGGAGAACCUCCUCACACCCCUAUCAUCCAAUAAAUAGAAAACAUGAUUAGGCGAAGUUCAAUUCCCGAUGUAUCAUGUUUUGGAAACAUCUCCUAGUAUAUAUCAAUUUAAAAGCGCCCUUUUACUAAAAUCUGCCCCCCUUGCCUUCACCUCGUUCCGGCGUCCCUGCCGCUGUUGGCGCUUGAAUACUUCAAAUAUAAAUCAUCGUGCCUGUAGAUUUAACCUGAAGUUCAGGCCCUAAGAUUUUGAUUGGUUGCAAGUUCACAUAAACAACAGUUUUAAAAAUAGUUCGGUCAAGGGCUUAAUCUCUCUCCUCCGCAGAGCCUUCUUAAGUAUUUACAAAUAACUUACAUGAAGUUUCCUGAAUAAAAGUGAGCGCGCGCGGUGUGAUGGGAAGAUUCCUUUUGCGCUCACUUUUCCCUCACUAGAAACUUCAUGUAAGCCUCUGCGGAGGAGGGAUAGGGCUCAAUAUAAAUAUAAAGGUCAAACGCACGUACAAAUCCAUAAUUAUCCAUUAUCGAUUUCUUCGAAUUUCUUUUCUUUUAAUAUGCUU